CAACAAAGAUCAAGCCCGGAGCUCCCCCACACCCCGCAGCACCGACCCACCCAUAUCCACCUUCUUCCCCGACCGCGCCCAAAUCCUAGCCUCCACCUUCUCUCCUUCGGCCGGCGAGCAAGCCACCAGCGCCGCCCCCGCGGGCUUCCACCACACCGCCUCGAGCUUCCCCUCCCCUUUCCCCACCUCCGCCCGCCAUCGCCUCCGCAGUGAGGCGCAGUGCGUUUCCAGUUCGAGGCGCGCCACCGGCCAAUAACCACCUCGGGCUACCGGCGCGGAUCCGUCGACCCACCGAACUCACCACCAUGGAUGGCCACCUGCAUCGCUGGAUGGGGUCACCUCCAACCCCAAUGGUAGGAUCUACCCAUCCCGUGGUUUCCUCUUCGUGGAUCUGGAUCCGGGCGAGGAGGCCGCCCUCUCCUGUAGACCACGCCGCGCCCAACAGCCCCAACCGGCGACCGUACCCUUCCCCGGUGACCCGCCGCUCCACUCGUGCCCCACCACCUCUCGGUCGCCGUCCCUUAGCCCCCCACACCCCAGCCAUCUUCCCCGUCGGGCGGCGCACCUCCCUGUAGUACCAUACCCGUAGGCCGCACGAUGCGACCCCUCUGCUGGCCCCCGACGGUGCCGAUGCGCUUCCCACAACCACCUCAAAUCUCUGUCCAUCGCUCCGCCUGAGAUCCAGCAGUCGCCACCAUCCGUCAUCCUCUUCUUCCUUCCGACGUCUACACAUGCGGGGCCACCCUUCCUUCUCUGGUCUAGAUACAGGCGAGAGCGACCAGUGGCAGCAGCGCCGGCUCUCCUGCCUCCCCUCCCCUCUGACGAGCUGGCCUGAAGACGGUGGAGGCUCCCGAUGCAGUUCGAUUCAUGGGUGGUGUAGGUCCGCCGGAGUUUUGCUGGAUCGCUGUGUCGUGCAGUUUGCUCGUCGAGGCCGUGCAGUUCGUGCGUCGCGGCCGUGCAGUUCCCGGUGGAAGAGCACUGGCGCCCCCCGGCAUGAGGUUCAGCCAACAAUCGAAAAAACAUGGAUGAUUUGUGGACGGCUAAGAAGUUUUCCUGUGUGCAACUCUGUUCUGUCAUCUUUGCAGCUUUGUUCUUCUCUAUGUGCAGUGCAAAAAGUUUGGAUGAUGUGCAUCCGGCGACGGAUGGCUCCUGCUUUGUCUCUUGAAUCUUCUUAUGAUAUUUCUCUUCCAUGCGGUGUGUGGUUGCUGAA